AUCCUGUAGCUAAUCUUGCAACUUUAGUUAAAUUAGAAAUAAUCUCUCUGCCUUCGACACGGACAUAGUGUUGCUAUUAGAGCCGCUUUCUCAUGCAUGCAUAUUAUGACCAAUAGUCAUGUCUAGGGCUGUAACAUGACAUACGUAUAUAAUAGGCGUUAAAAUUUUGGCGGAUUCCACGCUAGGAUGAGAUAGGUUAAAUAAAGAUUGGAUAACAAAGAUGCGCAAUUUCGGAAAUAUAUCAAAGAGUUCGACAUAAAUGGAAUAGUCAAAACGUGGAUAGAAGAAAAACGUUGGUAUAAAUUAAAUGUAUAUCGAAGAAUUUCAACUAGGAGUGUCAGCAUGCCAAGAGAGAGAAGAAUAAAGGAAGAGCGAUAGGAGGACUCAUCACAGGAGUAAAGAAGAAUAUUAAAGAGGAGAACAGGACAGAAAUAAAGGAAAAAA